CAUGUGGUGGAUGCCUUGGCGAUCACAGGCGAUGAAGGACGCGGUAGCCUGCGAAAAGCUUCGGGGAGCUGGCAAACGAGCUUUGAUCCGGAGAUGUCCGAAUGGGGAAACCCGGCCCGUAUGGGUCAUCCCUGACUGAAUUCAUAGGUCAGGGAAGCGAACGCGGCGAACUGAAACAUCUAAGUAGCUGCAGGAACAGAAAUCAACCGAGAUUCCCAA
rnacentral:rRNA from 1 species